GCGCGAGAAGUCAUUUGGUGGCCUUCAGGCAUUAAUACAGUCACCAUUAUUAUGUGCCGCUUGUUAUUUUGUCUUGCAGAACACCAACAUAAAAGUUAUGGUUCUCACAUUAUUGACCAAUCACACUUCAUUGCUAGGCUCAAAAGAAGAAGAGGGAUAGGUGGUUUUGCUUUUGCCCAGUGGAGCACCACUUGACAAUUCCUGAGAAUAUUGAAUCAUUUUCCUUGUAUCCCGUGAUUUUAGAGUGUUAUGCCAGCUCAUAUAUCUUUCCAAGUUCAUAUAGAAGGUUUCAGGUCUGACCUGCAUAUCCAUUUCUUAAAAAGUACCUCUUAAAGCAUCAUUGGUCGUCUGGGCAAGGAACAAUUGGAGGCCGUGGUGCUGAAAACAAGGAGCUUUCAAUUGAUGUGUUAGCUCAUGGAUGAUCACAAUUUUGUGGUUGGCCAAGAGUUCCCUGAUGUCAAGGCCUUCCGGAGUGCAAUUAAAGAAGCUGCAAUUGCGCAACACUUUGAACUGCGUAUUGUGAAAAGUGACCUGAUGAGAGCUGGAUGUGGUUCUUGUCAGAGUUACUCAAAGCCCUGGAGGUGCACUCGGAGAAGAUCCCACAGCUUACGUUUUUAUUGGAUGGUCAGAAGGGUAUUGCAGACUGUAAAAAGGAAAUUCCCUUCUUCUCAUGCGUUUUGCAUGCGGCACUUGAGUGAAAGCAUUGGGAAAGAGUUCAAGAAUUCUAGGCUUGUCCAUCUUUUGUGGAAAGCUGCAUAGUCCACCACUACAAGUGGUUUCAAAGAGAAAUUGCUAGAAAUUGAGGAGGUUUCUUCUGAAGCUGCAAAGUGGCUUCAACAGUUUUCACCUCCCCGUUGGGCGUUAGUAUAUUUUGAGGGAAUACGGUACGGUCAUCUCUCCUCAAAUAUAGAGGAGUUCCACCGUUGGAUUCUUGAAGCAAGAGAGCUACCCAUAAUUCAGGUGAUUGAGCAGGUCCACAUUAAAAAAAAAAGUGUAUUUGUUAAGGCGAGAGGGUUCGCUUGCACCCUCUCAAAUGGUAGUGCAGAUCGACGCCUUUGCUUUUAGCCACGAAUAUUAAACACGCUUUGUUGAAGACCCCAUACUUACUAGAUGGUUGCCAGUUGGCUUCGUUUGAUUACAACAACAAUUUUGUCAAUGAACCUGGCUUCAUACCUGAAAGUUUCAGUCA